rnacentral:rRNA from 1 species
GAGUUUGAUCGUGGCUCAGAUUGAACGCUGGCGGCAUGCCUUACACAUGCAAGUCGAACGGCAGCACGGGAGCUUGCUCCUGGUGGCGAGUGGCGAACGGGUGAGUAAUGCAUCGGAACGUAUCCUGGAGUGGGGGAUAACGUAGCGAAAGUUACGCUAAUACCGCAUAUUCUGUGAGCAGGAAAGCGGGGGACCUUCGGGCCUCGCGCUCUUGGAGCGGCCGAUGUCGGAUUAGCUAGUUGGUGAGGUAAAGGCUCACCAAGGCGACGAUCCGUAGCAGGUCUGAGAGGAUGAUCUGCCACACUGGAACUGAGACACGGUCCAGACUCCUACGGGAGGCAGCAGUGGGGAAUUUUGGACAAUGGGGGCAACCCUGAUCCAGCCAUGCCGCGUGAGUGAAGAAGGCCUUCGGUUGUAAGG